rnacentral:rRNA from 1 species
UACAGAGGUCCCGAGCGUUGUUCGGAUUCACUGGGCGUAAAGGGUGCGUAGGUGGUGAGGUAAGUCGGAUGUGAAAUCUCCGAGCUCAACUCGGAAAUGGCAUUGGAUACUAUCUGGCUAGAGGAGUGGAGGGGGGACUGGAAUACUUGGUGUAGCAGUGAAAUGCGUAGAUAUCAAGUGGAACACCAGUGGCGAAGGCGAGUCCCUGGACACUUCCUGACACUGAGGCACGAAAGCUAGGGGAGCAAACAGG